GGCUCCGCCUCCGCCUCUAACCCCUCCCCGCCGGGCCCGGACCACGCUAGCCGCUGCCUAGCCCGGGCUCCCGGCAGGAGGGCGCCCGGGCCCAGUACCCGAGUGCCCCGGUCUCUAGAGGGCUACGGAGCGCGUCUGCCUCCAGGACCGGGUAUUUGACUGAGCAGCCUGCGAAGUAGAGCGCGGAAGGUCCGCAGUGGGUGCGGCGCGGCGCAGUCGGGGCUAGCCCACUUGCUCAGCGUAGCUUUUCUAGAGCGUCGGGGGUCUCGAGGGGCCGGGGUUGGACAGCAGCUGCGCGACUCCGAGGGACUCUUCUCUGCAGAUCCAGGCCCGCACCUAUCUGCAGAUGUUCUUCCAUAGAGCAAUUCUCUGCACUUCUUAGAAACAACUGUUGCUUAUACAACUGUUGCUUAUAGCAGAAGACAGCCUUUAUCUCUUCCAGUGAUCCACAGACUUGAUGAAAUCAGUUCGGGCCUCAGAGAGAAGAUGAAUUGUAAGCAAAAUUCAAAAAUCACGAUUCUGGGGAAAAAGACCCCCAAAUCCAGAGCCCUGUAGUACCAGCCCUGCUAGUUCAACUGAAGGCUGCAGCAUGCCCUGAUCUAAACGGGAAAACACAACAAGGAAAAUAUCAGAAGCACAAGCCAGAGCUGUUGUCCUCCUUACUCAUCCACUCAUCCAUCAAGAUAAGUCAGAGAUCAAAAGGAAUUCCCUCUCCAUCCUCCAAGAAAGACACUUGAGGAGACAAUUAGUAACAUGGUGAGAGGAGCUGGAUCUCAAGUCCCCAAAGCACAAAGUAAGAAGCAGCCAGCUCUGCCAAGAGACAGGAAAAAACCCUGACUGGACCUUCAGAGACAGAUCAGGAGGAUCAAGGAAACUCCAAUCGAGCACAUCACAUGGGUAAAGUCUUCAGACUCUAUGCCUGGUCUGCAGGACAGUGGGCUAGCAAUUCAUAACGGUUGGAGCCUGGGUCAGGAGGGAGAGGAGCCCGUGUGGCUUGGGGAGGUGGCUGUCAAACAACCUGCUGAGGGACUUGAGCUUCAUUCUGGAAGACACAGGAAGAUGUGGCAGGGUUUUGAGAAGGGGUGUGGCUUUGCAAAGACUUCUUUGGCAGGAAGGAAAGUGUGCUAGGUUUCCACAGCAGCCAGCUUAUCAACGUUCCUCCAGCCCUGCUGAAUUCAGAAUCUCAGGACAUCUGUUCCUCCCGCCACCUUCCUGAUGGCCUACUCGUUUUAUUUUGAAGCACAUACAGUAUCUCUUCGUUUCCAGCAUCGUCCCCAUUAUCCACUACUUCCUCCCAACCGCGCUUUCUAAACUGCUGAGGAUGGAAGAGAAAGCAGACUGGACUUGCAGUAUACAUUUCACACUCUCAUCCAACAAGCAACUUAGCCGCUGACACACUGCCAGCUGGUCCCAUCAAGUCAGGUGGCAUGGGUCACCCAACAAGCUGCCUGUUGGAAUAGCUGGCUGUUACAUAGCCUGUUAAGAACCAGGCGAACAAGACCACCAAAAUGUGGCAGCUGCUGUCCAGACAAGACACCUUCAGGCAGAGCUGGGUGCAGCCCGGUGACUCGUGCAGACAACAUCUGGGUUUUAGUUGGAAGACGGCCUCUGCAUUGGAUGAAGCUCUUCCCACAGACAAAAGUUGGAAACAAAGUCAGAAACAGAAAAUGAGAUUUAAAAAAAAACAAAACAAACCCAAGGCAAUCUUCUUUUGAAAGACUGCAGAUGCCCUGUGGAUGGCUACCUUCCUCUCUGUGAUGGACUGCACCCUUGAGCCAGCCCAAAGAAACACUUCUUUCCCUGAGUCACAUUCACCGGGCAUUUUUUCACAGCAAAGAGGAAAGUGACUAACACAAGUUGUUACCCCAUUUCUGCUAGAUCUGGGCUCCUUUCAUUAGUCAACAUGACAUGGAUUGAACACCCACUCUGCCCUACUACUGAUCUACAAUGAAGGUGCCGGAACAAGGAAGUUAUGGGAACAAGACAGAGUUGGUUCAAAGAGAUGAUCGACAACAGCGCAGACAUGAAUGAGCAGGAUAAUGCAUGAUGACAGCCCAGUGAAGACCAUAAAGCAGAGGAUCCGGGGGCCAAGGAGAAUAUGUCUGCCCUGUGGUCAGGGAGGUCAACUUUUGGGGAAGUAUUUAACAUUGUCCCUGAGGCCUGUGCUUUGAAUCUUCUUGGCCCAUUUCUUAAUAUCAUGGCUCUCAUGACUUGAUCUUAGUGCCUUUCCUCCGCCAUUUCAGCUGUAGGACCCCAGGAAGGCUUCUCAGAGCCUCCCACAGCAAGCCAUAUGCUAUCCUACUACUUAUAAACCCACACUCUAUAAUGGUCCUUCACUCUGGCACCUCAUUAUAGAAAGUAGGAUGAAGUUGGCACCGAGAAUGAUUCCUAUUUGCUUCAGCCACAGUAAUCUCUUCAUUUUCUAAGACUUCAGUUAUGUGUGUUCAAUCAUCAUGGGAAAAUAUUGAAAAGAAAAUUAUUAGAAAUAAGCAGUUUAUUAAUUUAAGUGACUUUUAUUAUAGCAUUUUGUUAUAUGGCUCUACUUUGUUAUUAGUUGUUGGUAAUCAUUUACUAUGCUUUAUAAAUUAUUUGUCAAUAUUAAUAUUUGUUUAUAGGAGAAAAGAGUGCAUAUAGGAUUUGAUGCUAUCUGGGUUUCAAGCAUUCACUGGGGGUCUGGGAAUGGAUCCUCUGAGAUAAAAGGGGCAUGUCUCUUUUAAUACGCAUAAGGUUUACACUGCAGUACUGCUAAGUUCACUUUACUAUUUGGGACUCUGCUGAAAUUAUCUCUUUGCAGAGGAAGAGUAUCUCACCACCCACAUCAGCUUCCUCCUUCACCCAGAACAGAUUCCCAGAAAAUAAAAGUUCCUAAGACUGUUCUAGAAAGUUCAGAGACACAGAUGAGAACUUUGCUCUUUAAUCAUGCUUCAGGAAUGCAGGUGUUAUCUGUACACACUAUUAUCAAUUGUCUUUGAGAUCGCUGGCUAGAGUAAGCUUGGUCAUGAUUUCUAAUCAUUAGAGAUAGGUUGGGAGUUUUCAAUUCAUUUAUUCUCUUUAUUGUAGCUAAUUGAAGAAUACGUUGCCUUUGGAUUCAAAUAGCCAUUACUGGUUCUCUUUGCCAAGCCCUAUGCAAGACAUAUCUCCUUGGGAUUUUGUGAUGGCUUAGUGCUCUGUGUCAGGGAUAGAGAGGUGAGGCUCAGGUGAAUUAAGGGCUAGCUCAAAGUCAAAUGUAGGGGUAGAAACACGUGCAAGUCUUCUGACCCCAGUACAUGGACUUGCAGGCUGGAGCUCUCCUACCUUUCUUUUUACACACAGUAUUGACUCACAUCUUGAGGAAACUGAGGUUAAAUGUAAUGCGCAAGCAUUCAUCUUUGUAAAGAUUUGUUUCAUUGGGACCACUGGUUACAAGUGAAAGCUACAGUGGAUGUGUCCAUGACAUAGAUUAAACACGAUUACAGAGGAGGUGGUGUAUCCCUCACAUCUUGACUUCUCUUACGUUUAAUAUAACCCUGAAGAGGACACAGAAGUUCAAAUAGAGCAUAUGGCAUUCAUAAGGUUACAUACAUGUAAUCAUACAUGAUACUUUUAUUGUAAAUAAAAAACACUAUUUAUAAUGGCAACAAGUGCAUUAUACAGAUAAAACAUAGGACUGCAGCUUCAUUAUUUAUUAAAGGAAAGAAAAAAAAUCUACACAAGUGAUCGGGGAAACAUAGUCUUACUCUGGUGGCAUUUGUCCCUAGAUUGUCCCUAGAUUGCUUUACAGAUUUCAUCACAAUUCAAAUCAAAAUCAUAGCAGGAAUUUGUGGGAUUGUGAUAAACUCAUUUUGAGUUUUCUAUGAAAGUAAUAAAGGCUUUUGAGUAAUCAACACUGAAAAAGAAAACACAGGAAUGGGAGCACUCGACUAGUAAAUGAGACAUUGUUGAGAAGGUGCAGAACAAACAAAUAAACCGAUGGAGAAUCCCUAAAGCAAGGUCACUUGUGCUGCAGUGCACUGACAGAACUCAACACAGCAGCUGUUCUUCAUCGGAGAGGCUGCGACCAUGUAAAAUCAGGAAAUCUUCAAGAUCAGGCCUGUUGACCACUGAUGCUCCCUUACAGGGGAAAAGGUGGAGAGAACAUGGGGAAGCUUAUUACACCUUCUCUUGAGACUCCAGCUUUUUCUUCCUGAACCUCCCAGCCAGUUGUAUAUAAUUCUGUUCCACCUGCACAUGGUCUCAUAGUCUUGGGAGUAUACAGUCUGUGGCAGGCUAGUGGAAGGGAGUGACUCCAUAUUUGCAGUGGUGGGGAAGUCACCCAUCAUUGACAUUGGGAGUGGUUGUGUGGCUACUUUGGGGUCAUUAAUAUACCUAUAAAUAAUUCUUCACCCAUGCUCUGUAAGUAAAAAUAAAGUUAUUAACUCAC
rnacentral:sRNA from 1 species